UACGUAGGGGGCUAGCGUUGUCCGGAUUUAUUGGGCGUAAAGAGCGUGUAGGCGGCCAGGUAGGUCUGCUGUGAAAACUCGAGGCUCAACCUCGAGACGUCGGCGGAAACCAUCUGGCUAGAGUCCGGAAGAGGAGAGUGGAAUUCCUGGUGUAGCGGUGAAAUGCGCAGAUAUCAGGAAGAACACCCGUGGCGAAGGCGGCUCUCUGGGACGGUACUGACGCUGAGGAACGAAAGCUAGGGGAGCAAACAGG
rnacentral:rRNA from 1 species